UACGUAGGGGGCUAGCGUUGUCCGGAUUUAUUGGGCGUAAAGAGCGUGUAGGCGGCCAGGUAGGUCUGCUGUGAAAACUCGAGGCUUAACCUCGAGAUGUCGGCGGAAACCAUCUGGCUAGAGUCCGGAAGAGGAGAAUGGAAUUCCCGGUGUAGCGGUGAAAUGCGUAGAUAUCUGGAGGAAUACCGGUGGCGAAGGCGGCAUCCUGGACCAUUACUGACGCUGAGGCGCGAAAGCUAGGGGAGCAAACGGG
rnacentral:rRNA from 1 species